rnacentral:rRNA from 1 species
AUUGAACGCUGGCGGCAGGCCUAACACAUGCAAGUCGAGCGAGCGGCGGACGGGUGAGUAAUGUCUGGGAAACUGCCUGAUGGAGGGGGAUAACUACUGGAAACGGUAGCUAAUACAGCAUACCAUCAGAUGUGCCCAGAUGGGAUUAGCUAGUCGGUGGGGUAACGGCUCAACUAGGCGACGAUCCCUAGCUGGUCUGAGAGGAUGCACAGCAACACUGGAACUGAGACACGGUCCAGACUCCUACGGUAGGCAGCAGUGGGGAAUAUUGCACGAUGGGCGCAAGCCUGAUGCAGCCAUGCCGCGUGUGUGUAGAAGGCCUUCGGGUUGUAAAGCACUUUCAGCGGGGAGGAGUUACCCGCAGAAGAAGCACCGGCUAACUCCGUGCCAGCAGCCGCGGUAAUAC